rnacentral:misc_RNA from 1 species
CGGACUGCUGAGAGAGUUUAUAAGUUUUCAGUUGAUUUGGCCAGUUCCAAGAAAAAGAACAACUGCUGACUCCUUUAGCAGGAGACCUCACAAGGGUAGCGGAACUAAGAUUACUUAUCGAAGGAUUGACAUUUUUACUCUUGCAAGGAAUGAGUUCAUGUAGCACACUAGUAUCCAGAAAUGACUGACAGCUGCUAAUGGCUUGUGGAUUUUGAAGCCCUAACAUUGUUGAACCAUGAUACACUCACCUUAUCAGCGAUUUCAUCCGCACAGGAAGAGAUAUGUAACGAGGAAGAUG